rnacentral:rRNA from 1 species
AUUGAACGCUGGCGGCAGGCCUAACACAUGCAAGUCGAACGAGUGGCGGACGGGUGAGUAAUGUCUGGGAAACUGCCUGAUGGAGGGGGAUAACUACUGGAAACGGUAGCUAAUACCGCAUACCAUCGGAUGUGCCCAGAUGGGAUUAGCUAGUAGGUGGGGUAAAGGCUCACCUAGGCGACGAUCCCUAGCUGGUCUGAGUGGAUGACCAGCCAAACUGGGACGAAGAAACGGUCCAAACUCCAGCGGGAGGCAGCAUUGGGGAAAAUUGCACAAUGGGCGCAAGCCUGAUGCAGCCAUGCCGCGUGUAUGAAGAAGGCCUUCGAGUUGUAAAGUACUUUCAGCGGGGAGGCGUUACCCGCAGAAGAAGAACCGGCUAACUCCGUGCCAGCAGCCGCGGUGAUUC